CCCUGCGUUCAGAAGUGACUGUGGACAGCCUGUGUCCUGCUCAUUGGUCGUGCAGGCAGAGCAGACGUGGAAUAGGUUGUCCCGUGUGUGGAGGGUCCACGUCCUCACCUUCCAGUUCUGGGGCUUUCCCACA